AGAAGCAGGACCCUCCCCAGAACCACAGUGACCUCACUGAUGAGGUCACAGACGACAUCAUGAACAUCACAACAGAUCAAAGAAGUUCUGAGGCUUUAACUGCUUGAAUCUCAACACAACAGUUAGAAUCCAAACGCUUCAGAUAUCUGGUGACGACAGGGAUGAGGAAAGUUUUCGACCAUUUCUUUCCUGGAAACGACUCGGACGUAAGUACCUCCCAGGAUUUUGAGAAAGAUUUGUUUUGGGACGGGCUUCCAACGGUUCCCAGAGAUAAAACUGACCCGGCUGGGGAAGUUUCUUCUCUCGAAAGUCCAAGCCGUUUCUCAAGCUCCAAGGAUGUUGACAGAGAUUUGUUUUGGGACGGGCUUCCAACGGUUCCCAGAGAUAAAGCUAACCCGGCUGGGGAAGUUUCUUCUCUCGAAAGUCAGAGUCGUUUCUCAAGCUCCCAGGAUGUUGACAGAGAUUUGUUUUGGGACGGGCUUCCAACGGUUCCCAGAG